AGAAAUGACAGCUGUCUGCGUGACCGUGGCACUCACAUUCUGAGGCCAAGAGGCACGAUGACAGACGGAGGACAGGAGAUGAGAUGGAUUGAGUCAGCGAGAGGAAAGGAGAGAGAGCAAGAACGAAUGGCCAAGAUCUACUGUCCUAGGGCUCUUUCAUCCUGUUUAAGCAUAGAUCACCUACUCUGGCAUGGGUUUGGCUCCCCACUGCUUCCAUUGGCAGGCCUCCACGGAUGGUCAUUGAAGAGUGGGGCACACCUCUCACAGUGCUCCCCUGCUGUGUUGAGACCUCAGACCUGAAGGAGCAGGUGUUGUCUCUUUCGCAUGGGGCUGUGGAGCUGCAGGACAAGUCUGAGCCUGGAGAAGUCUGAUGCGGAGGGUGUGGCACUGGUAUAAUGGGAGGUACACAAUGAGCCUGGCUGGUGAACAUCGUCAGGGACACCAAACUCCAGGCUGCAGUUGUGGGCGAACAGUUUGAGGGUUUCCCAGGUCU